rnacentral:rRNA from 1 species
AGUGAACGCUGGCGGUAGGCCUAACACAUGCAAGUCGAACGGCAGCACAGGAGAGCUUGCUCUCUGGGUGGCGAGUGGCGGACGGGUGAGGAAUACAUCGGAAUCUACUCUGUCGUGGGGGAUAACGUAGGGAAACUUACACUAAUACCGCAUACGACCUACGGGUGAAAGCAGGGGACCUUCGGGCCUUGCGCGAUUGAAUGAGCCGAUGUCGGAUUAGCUAGUUGGCGGGGUAAAGGCCAACCAAGGCGACGAUCCGUAGCUGGUCUGAGAGGAUGAUCAGCCACACUGGAACUGAGACACGGUCCAGACUCCUACGGGAGGCAGCAGUGGGGAAUAUUGGACAAUGGGCGCAAGCCUGAUCCAGCCAUACCGCGUGGGUGAAGAAGGCCUUCGGGUUGUAAAGCCCUUUUGUUGGGAAAGAAAUCCAGCUGGCUAAUACCCGGUUGGGAUGACGGUACCCAAAGAAUAAGCGCCGGCUAACUUCGUGCCAGCCGCCGCGGUAA